rnacentral:rRNA from 1 species
GACGAACGCUGGCGGCGCGCUUAACACAUGCAAGUCGAACGGAAAGGCCUGCAUUCCCUUGUGGAUUGCGGGUACUCGCGUGGCGAACGGGUGAGUAACACGUGAGUGAUCUGCCCCCAACUUGGGUAUAAGCCUGGGAAACUGGGUCUAAUUCCCGAUAGGACUGCAGGGUGGUGCCUGUGGUGGAAAACGAUUUUCUAGUGGUUGGGGAUGAGCUCGCGGCCUAUCAGCUUGUUGGUGGGGUAAUGGCCUACCAAGGCGGCGACGGGUAGCCGGCCUGAGAGGGUGGACGGGCACAGUGGGACUGAGAUACGGCCCAGACUCCUACGGGAGGCAGCAGUGGGGAAUAUUGCACAAUGGGCGGAAGCCUGAUGCAGCGACGCCGAGUGGGGGAUGACGGCCUUCGGGUGGUAAACUCCUUUCGACCGCGAGGAAGCCACCUGGUUGGAAGGGUGGUGACGGUAGUGGUAGAAGAAGCACCGGCUAACUACGUG